AUUAAAAACAGAGAGCCAUGCUACGAAGUGCAAAGAAGAAUCUGAGAAAUUUUGCCUUUAUUGGUCUUGUUGAAUAUCAAGAAGAAAGUCAGUUUGUUUUCGAGCAGACGUUUGGUUUGAAAUUCCGCAAACCGUUCGUACAACGAACCCGGACAUUCAGUAAAACCACGCUAAAUCGCAUAUCGCCUACGGAGGUUCGAAAAAUACGACUUUCAAAUAAACUAGAUAUGCAACUUUACGAGUACGCCAAAGACUUAUUCUUACAAAGAUUGGAGUAUUUUAGAACAUUGCAGUCGAAAAAGAAGCCGACUCCUUGAUAUUAGCAUAUUUGCACAGCAAGAUAUAUUAUACAGAUAAAUUUAUUUAUAAAUCGGGGCAAAACUAUUACUUAUUAGUGUUUAUACACCGGUAUAGACUAUAGGUUUUUAGCACUGAAAAUUUGAAAUGUAAAUAGUUGUAUAUCUCGUUGAUUUUUAAGAGACGUGGCACAUGCGCUGUGUAAUGUGUUGUUACAAGUUACAGACUUGUGUAAACUAAAACUAAGAUCUGAUGAGAAAAUUUAUUAUUUCUAAUAAACGAGUAUAAACAUUGGAAAUAUAAACGAUAAACAAAUUGUUUCAAUCGAGGUUUCAAUAUCAUAUUGUUUGUAUAUAAAUUUCGGCAUGCGAGCUCCCUAGGUAGCGAGAAAGAUAUAUGACGCACCGAAAGUGAUAUGUAUGUCAAUAUUUUGGUGCUCAUGCUGUACAUUGCACAGUGUGAAAGGUCUGGAAUAUUGCCUCUUGUGGCAUUUCAAUUAAGUAAAACUAUUACAGAAGACGUGCUGAUCAAUAGCCCGCUAAUAUUUUGCGUGACAAGUGAUUGAUGAAAAGUGC